AGCGAACGCUGGCGGCAGGCCUAACACAUGCAAGUCGAACGAACCUUUCGGGGUUAGUGGCGGACGGGUGAGUAACACGUGGGAACGUGCCUUUAGGUUCGGAAUAACUCAGGGAAACUUGUGCUAAUACCGAAUGUGCCCUUCGGGGGAAAGAUUUAUCGCCUUUAGAGCGGCCCGCGUCUGAUUAGCUAGUUGGUUGAGGUAAUGGCUCACCAAGGCGACGAUCAGUAGCUGGUCUGAGAGGAUGAUCAGCCACAUUGGGACUGAGACACGGCCCAAACUCCUACGGGAGGCAGCAGUGGGGAAUCGUGCGCAAUGGGCGAAAGCCUGACGCAGCCAUGCCGCGUGAAUGAUGAAGGUCUUAGGAUUGUAAAAUUCUUUCACCGGGGACGAUAAUGACGGUACCCGGAGAAGAAGCCCCGGCUAACUUCG
rnacentral:rRNA from 1 species